GACAGAGGUGGCAAACGUUGUUCGGAUUUACUGGGCGUAAAGGGUGCGUAGGUGGUUAGGUAAGACCUGUGGGAAAGACCUGGGCUUAACCCAGGAAGGUCGCAGGUGACUGCCUAGCUAGAGGGCGGGAGAGGAGCGCGGAAUUCCCGGUGUAGCGGUGAAAUGCGUAGAGAUCGGGAGGAAGGCCGGUGGCGAAGGCGGCGCUCUGGAACGUUCCUGACACUGAGGCACGAAAGCGUGGGGAGCAAACAGG
rnacentral:rRNA from 1 species